rnacentral:rRNA from 1 species
AUUGAACGCUGGCGGCAGGCCUAGCACAUGCAAGUCGAGCGGCAGCGGGUCCUUCGGGAUGCCGGCGAGCGGCGGACGGGUGAGUAAUGCCUAGGAAUCUGCCUGGUAGUGGGGGAUAACGUUCGGAAACGGACGCUAAUACCGCAUACGUCCUACGGGAGAAAGUGGGGGAUCUUCGGACCUCACGCUAUCAGAUGAGCCUAGGUCGGAUUAGCUAGUUGGUGGGGUAAAGGCUCACCAAGGCGACGAUCCGUAACUGGUCUGAGAGGAUGAUCAGUCACACUGGAACUGCGACACGGUCCAGACUCCUACGGGAGGCAGCAGUGGGGAAUAUUGGACAAUGGGCGAAAGCCUGAUCCAGCCAUGCCGCGUGUGUGAAGAAGGUCUUCGGAUUGUAAAGCACUUUAAGUUGGGAGGAGGGGCAGCUAGUUAAUACCUGGUUGUUUUGACGUUACCAACAGAAUAAGCACCGGCUAACUUCGUGCCAGCCGCCGCAGUAACAC